AAACUAUUUAUUUUGGAAAAAAAUCAAAGUAAAGUGUGUUUUAGUUAAAUUUAUUUUUUCACUUUUGUAAUUUGUAAAAUAUAAUGGUGUAUAUGUAUUUAACAUAGGUGAACUAUGUUUCUCCAGACAAGUUAGUGCUAGUUCUUAAUUUAUUCAAGAAAAUGUAAUAAUGUUACUCUCAUCAUUGCAAUUUUGCAAUUAACCACAAGAUUGCAAAUUUAUCAUUUUCAUUCAUUUAUUGUUAUCAUUUAGCACAUCAUAAAAACCUAAAAAGCACAAGUUGACACUUUUUUGUGUUUUUGCAAAGACGUAUAAUUAAUGUAUAUGUCCUUUGUUUUUGUUUUUGACAAGUUUGACAAGACUGACUUUUAGUUAUAGCAGUUAUGUCCCCUUAAAUGUUUUACUGAUGACUGAUGUUUGAAUGGCAGCUUUGAUAGUUAUCAGUGCUGCAUAAAAUAUGUCAGUUUUAUAGAAAUUUCUACUAAAUUUUGUCUUAUAUGCUACAAAAUCUCUGAUAAAGAGUCUCAAGUUCUUUACAAAUUUUUAAGUUUUAUUUAAUAUAUAGUUUUUUCAUAAUCCUGGUGUGUUGAUAUUUUAUCAUUUUUUCAAGCCUGGUGUUUUUAUUUUGUAGCUUUUGAAUGUUUUGUCCCAGUUAAGUUCAUAAUAAGUCUCAUUUAGCUUGUUUGUAUGUAUUUUUAAGCGACAUUUUUAUAUUUGUAUAUAUUUGGCAGUAUUUAUGCAUGCAUAUAGUUGUUAGAUUUUACAUAAAGUUAUUUGUUAUGUUAAUGAUACAUAUUAUACACUUCCAACUUCAA
rnacentral:lncRNA from 1 species